GGGAGAGGUGUGGGGAGCUCUGCUUCAGCUGUGGGGCCUCAGGAGGCAGGACUCAGGGAUGACCUCCACCAUGGCCUGGGCCCCUCUCCUCCUCACCCUCCUGGCUCACUGCACAGGAUCCUGGGCCCAGUCUGUGCUGACUCAGCCAUCCUCAGUGUCGGGGUCCCUGGGCGAGAGAGUCACCAUCUCCUGCACUGGAAGCAGCCUCAACAUUAGAUAUAGUUACGCUAUAUACGCUGUGUCCUGGCACCAGCAGCUCCCAGGAACGGCCCCCAAAUGCAUCAUCUAUGGUGAUAGCAACCGACCCUCAGGGGUCCCUGAUAGAUUCUCUGGCUCCAGGUCUGGCAGCUCAGCCUCCCUGACCAUCACGGGGCUGCAGGCUGAGGACGAGGCAGAAUAUUACUGCUCAGUAUGGGACGAUAGUCUUGAUGGUUACUCCUCAGGCUGCCCCCACCCCUCACCUGGGGCAGCCCCGACUGACCCUCAGGGUCUCCCUGGCUCUCUGCCCCUGAAGCCUCUGCCUGUGGGUGACUCUGACUCUGAGGUGGGAGCCCCCUCCAUGUGA